ACAUGUUUUCCUGCUGACCUUCUCCCCACUAUCGCCCUGUUCUCCCACCGCAUUCCCCUUGCUGAGAUAGUGAAAAUAGUAAUCUGUAGAUACCAAGGGAACUCAGAGACCAUGGCCGGUGCACAUCCUCCGGUGAAGGUACUCUACAGUGUGGUCAUUGAGGACAAGUUGACGAGAGAGUCCCAAGUACGUCCACGGUCAGCCUUGCGG
rnacentral:lncRNA from 1 species